UUAACUGAAACCAAAUAGAGGUAUAUCACUGUUAAUGAUAAAAUUGAAAACAAAAUCCAGUUAAA
rnacentral:tRNA from 1 species